CACGGCCUAUCAGCUUGUUGGUGAGGUAAAGGCUCACCAAGGCGACGACGGGUAGCCGGCCUGAGAGGGUGACCGGCCACACUGGAACUGAGACACGGUCCAGACUCCUACGGGAGGCAGCAGUGGGGAAUAUCGCACAAUGGGCGCAAGCCUGAUGCAGCAACGCCGCGUGAGGGAUGAAGGCCUUCGGGUUGUAAACCUCUUUUAGCAGGGAAGAAGCGAAAGUGACGGUACAUGCAGAAAAAGCACCGGCUAACUACGUGCCAGCAGCCGCGGUAAUACGUAGGGUGCAAGCGUUGUCCGGAAUUAUUGGGCGUAAAGAGCUCGUAGGCGGUUUGUCGCGUCUGCUGUGAAAACUGGAAGCUCAACUUCCAGCCUGCAGUGGGUACGGGCAGACUAGAGUGCGGUAGGGGAGAACGGAAUUCCUGGUGUAGCGGUGGAAUGCGCAGAUAUCAGGAGGAACACCGAUGGCGAAGGCAGUUCUCUGGGCCGUUACUGACGCUGAGGAGCGAAAGCGUGGGGAGCGAACAGGAUUAGAUACCCUGGUAGUCCACGCCGUAAACGGUGGGUGCUAGCUGUGGGCCACAUUCCACGUGGUCCGUGACGAAGUUAACACAUUAAGCACCCCGCCUGGGGAGUACGGAGGUGC
rnacentral:rRNA from 1 species